GAUUAAGCCAUGCAUGUCUAAGUAUAAGCAAUUAUACCGUGAAACUGCGAAUGGCUCAUUAAAUCAGUUAUCGUUUAUUUGAUAGUACCUUACUACUUGGAUAACCGUGGUAAUUCUAGAGCUAAUACAUGCUGAAAACCCCGACUUCGGAAGGGGUGUAUUUAUUAGAUAAAAAACCAAUGCCCUUCGGGGCUCCUGGUGAUUCAUAAUAACUUCUCAGAUCGCAUGGCCUUGCGCCGGCGACGGUUCAUUCAAAUUUCUGCCCUAUCAACUUUCGAUGGUAAGGUAUUGGCUUACCAUGGUUUCAACGGGUAACGGGGAAUUAGGGUUCGAUUCCGGAGAGGGAGCCUGAGAAACGGCUACCACAUCCAAGGAAGGCAGCAGGCGCGCAAAUUACCCAAUCCCGACACGGGGAGGUAGUGACAAUAAAUACUGAUACAGGGCUCUUUUGGGUCUUGUAAUUGGAAUGAGUACAAUUUAAACCUCUUAACGAGGAACAAUUGGAGGGCAAGUCUGGUGCCAGCAGCCGCGGUAAUUCCAGCUCCAAUAGCGUAUAUUAAAGUUGUUGCAGUUAAAAAGCUCGUAGUUGAACCUUUGGCCUGGCUGGCAGGUCCGCCUCACCGCGUGCACUUGUCCGGCCGGGCCUUUUCUUCUGGAGAACCGCAUGCCCUUCACUGGGUGUGUUGGGGACCAGGACUUUUACUUUGAAAAAAUUAGAGUGUUCAAAGCAGGCCUUUGCUCGAAUACGUUAGCAUGGAAUAAUAGAAUAGGACGUGCGGUCCUAUUUUGUUGGUUUCUAGGACCGCCGUAAUGAUUAAUAGGGACAGUCGGGGGCAUCAGUAUUCAAUUGUCAGAGGUGAAAUUCUUGGAUUUAUUGAAGACUAACUACUGCGAAAGCAUUUGCCAAGGAUGUUUUCAUUAAUCAGUGAACGAAAGUUAGGGGAUCGAAGACGAUCAGAUACCGUCGUAGUCUUAACCAUAAACUAUGCCGACUAGGGAUCGGGCGGUGUUAUUAUUUUGACUCGCUCGGCACCUUACGAGAAAUCAAAGUGUUUGGGUUCUGGGGGGAGUAUG
rnacentral:rRNA from 1 species